GAGCAGAAGCCUGGAAGCAACCCAAGUGUCGUCUUUAGAGGACUGGGUAAUCCGUGAACAUCCCACACAUGAAUACUACACAGCAGGGCAAAGGAGCAGGGCUGCUGUCUGUGCACAGACCUGGCAAGCUUUCCAGAAAAUGCCGUGAAGAGACAAAAGCAAAAAGCAUUGAAGUCUACCAGACUACAGUUCAGAGAUGCUUCCUUAUGAGUCACUUAAGUGCCUGUGUGAUUUCACUGUAGACUGAGGAGGCUGGUCCCAUCACCAGCGCCCUUGACCUCCACAGCUCUACUUACCAGCCGAGGCUACCACCACACAGAGUGUACUGCAGUUUCAGGCUUGGAGAGGAAGGGAGGAAGCCUAACCCUCGGGAGACCCCGUCAUGUUUUGAUGUCAUUGCAUGUCCCAUUUGGCCAGCCCGGAAAAAAUAAAAUGAGGAAGAAUGGCCCACAAACAACCUGGACAGAUAGAAGGCUGCUUUUAAAGAAGCUCACAGACACAGCUGAUUGAUUCUGCGACCUUGCUUUGUUACUCAUCUCUGAGUUUAGAGGCUUCACUGCCAGGGACCUUGUCCAGAGUUUCUGAGACCUCCAACAGCCUGUGGUCUCCUGGUCACUCAGACCCUACUGGUGGCUUCAGAUGCUGGAUCUUGCUGAUGUUUGAAUUAGCUCUCUGUGAAGGGCAUGCUGGUGAGGCCACAUACCAGGAAACCAUGACAAACAACAGAAUUACAGUCUGGUUAAAAAAGAAAAUAUACAUAUGCACAUAUGUAUAUUCCCCUACCCCAGGGGUUGAGACUUUUUUUGGCAUAAAUUUACAUAUAUUUUGGCACAAAUUUGCAUAGAGGUACACGAGAACCUCUCAUUUACAGCACUAAAAUUUGUAUUGUUCCCCUUAGACCCUUGUCACUGGCUGUUACUAAUGUACUGAGUUUCACCAGUUUGUCCUCCAUUUCCUAGAAUUUGUUCUAAUUUUUAGGAAAUGCUUACUAAAUAUCACCAUUGUGUGUGGUGAAAUCCAGCCCUAGAGGACAUCAAAAGGUCUCUUGUUAGCUGGUAGCUAUUGUUAGGUAUUAUCUGUAGAGACAUCGGGUUUCCUGGAAACAUCCCAUAGAGCUGUCCAAAAGUAUUAAUUAUUAAAUUGGGCCUUUAACUGUAUUUAUAGAAAUUAUAAUAUUACGUUUAUAUGUAUAGAAAAGAGAUUAUAUCUAAGCCUUAUAUCUGUAUAAAAAAAGGAUUUUACCAAAAGUACUGGAAGGUGCAUUAUAGUUACUCUCAAAUGUAAUAUUAGGGAUUUAUAUUUACAUAUAUUUGAGACAGGGUCUCACUCUGCCCAGGCUGGAGUGCAGUGGUGUGAUCUCUCGCCUCACUGCAGCCUCCACCUCCUGGGCUCAGGUGAUCCUCCCACCUCAGCCUCCCAAGUAGCUGGGAUUACAGGCACACUCCACCAUGCCUGGCUAAUUUUUUAUAUUUUUUGUAGAGACAGGGUUUUGCCAUGUUGCCCAGGCUGAUCUCAAACACGUCGGCUCAAGUGAUCCUUCCACCUAGGCCUCUCAAAGUGCUAGGAGUACAAGCAUGAGCCACCAUGCCCAGCCAAUAUUAGAUAUUAAUCAUUGUUCAAGAACAAUGUUAUCAAACCUACCUGUGAGCUGGGGCAAGUUGUGUCACUCCCCUGGAGCCUCAGUUUCUUCCUCUGGAAACUGAGGGAAACUACACCAAAUCUGAGUGUUUCCCUAAUCUCAGGCAGCUGACGUCCCCUUUAGAAUUUUUGCCAUCUUCUCAUGUCAUUUAUACUAUUUCUUCAUAUUUUUCUGGAAUUUAAUAACUUUUCAACUUAAACUGGCAUGAUCUACCUUAGCCUAGUCCCAAGCAAAAAUCUCUGUGAAACUACGUGUUCGCUGUACUCUUUUUUCUUGCAUAUUAAAAUAAAUGCAUGACUCUUAAAAUGUUUUUAAGGUGCUCGUUUGUAUUCACUUGAAAUUUUCUCAGGUCCUGCUGCACUUUGAGAAUGUGAUACAAAAAGCUUCAGUGGUGUGCACGAGGAGCUUGGUAUAAGGCCCAGCCCUAGCAGUCAUAAAUGGUAGCUGAGGCAGAAACAGCUAGGUUCCUACCUCAACAUUCUCCUUUCAAUACAGUAACGUGCUGACUUUCAGUUGGGCACACAACCGAAACCAUUUCCCAGGAUUCUUCGCAGCUAGAUAGAACCAUGUAACUUUAUAAUAUAAAUGUAAACAUAAUAUUUUGGACUAUGCUUGGACUAAACAAAACAUUUAGUAAAGCUGGGCAUGGUGGGGUGUGCCUGUAGUCCCAGAUACUCUGGAGGUUGACAGGGCAGGAGGAUCGCUUGAACCCAGGAGUUUGAGGCUGCAGUGAGCUAUGAUCUAUGAUCACGCCACUGCUCUCCAGCCUAAACAACGUAGUGGGACCUUGUCUCUAAAAAAAGAAAAUACAUUUAAAAAUAUAUUUGGUGAGGUUUCUGAGUAUCCCCCUUACGAAAGAGAAGGCAUGUACUUCUGCAACUUCCUCCAUUCUGCUUACUCAAACUUGAAUGGGAGGGCAGCUAUUUCAAACCAUAAAGAUGAGGGCUGUCCCCUAGGGAUGGUAGAACUAAGAGCCAGAAAAGACUAAGUUCUCGAUAAUCAUUUGGAACUGCAAUAGUGGUCCUGGACUACCUAUCUCUAGACUUCUUUUACAUAGGGAGAAAUAUACUUCUCUGUGAAGCCACAACCUUUUAGGAUUUUCUGUCACUUGCAGGUGAAUAUAAAUCUGUUGGAUACAAUAUUGUGUGCAUGGUAGGUGGGCCGUCAGUGGUGAGCCGGGGCUGCCAUUCAGGUAAGAACUGACUGUUAAAUUUUCAUGAAUUUUGCAUGCUGGUGAAUGUCACGUUGGUAGCCUGAAAUUGGCCAUGGUGGGAGUAUUUACACCACAGGAAUUGGCAAAUGCUACAUACACAUCAGGGCUUUAUUUCCUCCAAGAGAUCUGGUUAUUGACUACUUACCAUCUACCACCACAUCACUGUGGGAUUAAGGAUUUUAUCCACUAAAGUUUGUUCAUAUAGAGAGGUGAUCUGACCUCUUCAUUUACCCUCAAUUUGUUCAAAUUCUAAGUCAUGGACUAUAUCGGACCUAGACUUCCAUAUUGUCUAAUUCUGAUCUUGAAUGGAGGAAGCUUGAAUGUUGCUUAUAGGUCUGCUGUGGUCAGUGCUCAAGAGGUCAAUAGUAAAAGAGCCUGCUCAUCCCUCGCUGUGGGGAUAAUGAUUAGAAGGGAUGGGAAAUUAGCAUUCUGACUUUGCCAUCGGGUGUGAGAAGCACUGAAGCUCACAUACAAAUAAUUAACUUGCCAACCAGUUUUUCUUUUUCCUUUUAAAAGGUGGAAGCAGAUAAGUUGGGAAUAGAUACGCCCACAUUCAGAAUUUACUGCUACAGCACAAUUAAUUAUAUUUAAACAACAUAUGCUGCAUAUUGAUUAAGCACAAAUGUAAACCCUUCAUAUAAAUUAAGCUAAUGAAUUUAACUUUUCCAUAGUCAGAUCUUAUCUUUAGUGAUUCUUUUUCAUAUAUUUCUAUAGGUAUAAAGUUGUCAGGUAUAAUCACUGUCAAAUGGUUAACCAUUUGCUUUGAUAUCCUUUCUGUUCAGUUAGUGUUCAUGCGUGGUUUCACCUCAACCCAGGGAGACAGUCUCACACUUUAGGGGAUGGAUUAGUGUACCUUCAUGGGACAGCAGAGGCUUUUGCAUAGACGAGUUCUGUUGAAACUCUGGUUUCUCUAUGCUUACAGCUGCCUAACCUUACAGUAACUUAUUUAACUACUGUAUCAGUUAUCCAUUGCUGCAUAACAAAUGAUCUCAAAACUUAGUGACUUCAAACAACAAUUUAUUAUUUCUCAUGAUUCUGGGGCUUGACUGACUGAUUUUUCUGCUGGUCUUGCCUGGGCUCACCCAGGUCCCUGCAUUCAGCUAGUGUCUGGGAUGGAACUGUUAACCACAGAGUCUUGGUUUCUUCCCACGUGCCUUUUCUUUUCUUUUCUCUUUUUUUAGAGGGAGUCUCGUUCUGUCGCCC
rnacentral:lncRNA from 10 species